rnacentral:rRNA from 1 species
CCUACGGGAGGCAGCAGUGGGGAAUAUUGCGCAAUGGGCGAAAGCCUGACGCAGCGACGCCGCGUGAAGGAUGAAGGUCUUCGGAUCUGAAACCUCUGUCAGCAUGGGAGAACGGUCACUGUGCUAAUCAGCAUUGAAUGUACUGUACCAGCAAAGAAAGCACCGGCUAACUCCGUGACAGCCGCCGCGGUAAUACGGAGGAGGCGAGCGUUAAUCGGAAUUACUGGGCGUAAAGCGCUCGUAGGCGGUAUGUCAAGUCAAGGGUGAAAUCCCCGCGCUCAACGUGGGAACUGCAUUUGAUACUGGCAAACGUGAGUGUGUGAGAGGAUAGUGGAAUUCGAGGUGUAGGAGUGAAAUGCGUAGAUAUCUGGAGGAACAGCAGUGGCGAAGGCGACUAUCUGGCAUAUAACUGACGCUGAGGAGCGAAAGCGUGGGUAGCAAACAGGAUUAGAUACCCUAGGAGUC